AAACAAGCUCCUUAUUAGUCAGCUGCUAAAGGAUUUGUUUAUUAUUAUUGAUUAAAUGAUUAAAUCAUGAUUUAUUUUUCUAAAGAAAUGAAAGCAUGGCCUUUAAAAUCAAGCAUAUAAUAGUGGUGACCCCUCCUGAAUUCUGCUGGGCUGCCUCAGGGAGGUGGAGGGGUGUGCAUGGGCAGAAUGGGCGGUGCAUGUCGGAAAUUGUAUUUCUGGUGGAGUCGCCCGGAGCGGGAGGGCUGUUCCAUUGUGCUCAAUUGAAUGCUAGCAGGUGCUUCCACUUCAGUGGUGUCUUGUUGGUGUGCAGUGAUGCGCAGCAGAGGGUGAGGGCAGGCCAGGUCGGGCAUCGCCUGGGUUAACAAAGUCUGUGUUUGUGAGUUAGGCAGAGGCUCACAUUUGGAAAGUUUACUAGAGUCUCCCUUAGCCACUAGUGGUGAAAGCAGCACCACUCCAAGUCUGGCUACUGCAAUACACAUAUCCACAGUAG
rnacentral:lncRNA from 1 species